ACACUAUAGCCAUGCAAUACAAGCCACAAAGGACUUAACCAGCCCAAAACAGAGCUAAAACAUGCCAAAACAGUAGCUAAAACAUGCUUGAAUUAGGCUAAGUUAAGCUAGAAAAUCAAGCUAACAUGUAAAGUUAACUAGGUAUGGAAGCAAGACACAAGGAGGGGAGGCUAACCCCCCCAUUUUUGGACUUUAAAACAUGCUUUCCACCACUAAAAUAACUUUGAAUUUCAGUGGUUUAAAGGCCUAAAAAGUUUGAUUUCAAUAUGCCAAAAGAUGGUGUAAAAAGCUUCACAAUUAGGCAACAAGAAGGGUGGACUACGCCCCAACACAAAAUGACUUCAAACCAACAUGUUAAGGCUAAAAAAUCAGAGUUUUUUUGUAGUUGAAAACUAGGCCAAAAACAAUAUAAAAAGAUGGCCAAACAAGUGAUUAAAAUAAAGCUUACAAGGCAAGUCCUAUACCUCUUGAAGCACAGCACAAAACAGACCCUUUUUUAGGCUCAAACAACCUUUCAACAGCUCAAAUUAGGUUCCAAGGGACCUCAGCUCCAAGGUGGUCCAAUUUGGUAAGACUUGAUGUGCAAAUGUGUAGAGAAUUCUGACUAUAAGGCACAAAAUAAGAAGAGAGAGAGGGAGAAAUUUGCUCAAAAUUGUCUAACCCUCCAAUCAAGCUUAGAGCUUGUAUUCAUCCCUGCAUACACGUGUAUGGAUAUGAGCUUCAGUGAGCAACAGCUGGCACAACUGGAAAACAAAUAUCUGAAAAAGGAGAAAAAUGGCCGCAGGCCACCAAUGAGGCUGACUGGCCAUCAGUGUAGCCGACCAGCCACCACUAAUGGCCGAUAGGCAUAAGCCCUGGCCGAUGGGUUGUAGGGUUGGCCGACAGGGCACCCUCUCCCCCAGACUUGAAACAACAAGCUCUUGGUCCACAACCAAGCACAAAAUAGACAAGUUUCAAAGGCUCAAAGGCAAGGCACUCCACCAAGAACUUUGGGCGUCCAAAACGAACACAAACAAGGAUGAUCAUCGAGUAUUCAAACGAGGACGUCCAAGUCUUGAGAAUGGUAAAAAAUGGGGUGUCUACAGAGAUGAUGAUGACUCCUUAUGACUUUGCCAUGAUCAUCGGCUUGGAUAUAGGGGCGAUCCGAUCCCACUUGAUACAGACAUGGAGGAGUGAGAGGCGGCCUGGUUCGAGUUGCUGGGGGCACAUCCACCUAUAUACUGGACGGGCAUGGUCAGAUACACCUAGUUUGCUGAGUGAUUCAGAGGGAGCAAGCCUGAGACAGUAGAGGAGACAAAGCAGCAUGCUAGGCGCUUCCUGGUGUUUGUCUUCGGUACCACCUUGUUUUUGAACAGAUGGAACACCGUAGGCCUGCAUUUGCUAAGCGCCCUAGUUCCCUCGGGUUCAUUUUUACGAUUGGGGCGGAGCUGGCCUAGCCACCUUAUACGAAUACAUGAGCUCUACCUCUCGUUUGUGGGGAGACUUGAUCGGAGGCUACUGACGAGCCUUGGAGCUAUGGGUGUAUGCAUAUUUUUCGACCCUUGCCCCAGAGCUUGUAGAGAAGCUUCCCUUAAUAGUCCCCUAUUUUGCGGAGAUAUGAUGGCAGGCUCCACCGUAGGACCCAUGAGCUCUUCAAAUUUUUCUGUCAGUACUUCGACACAGUAGUGGCCUAUGAGAUCAUGUGGCAGCCAUGGGCCACGAUGCCAGCGGGGAUCUGAGACCAGUUCACCGGAGGCUGGGCUACUUUCCGCUAUAGUAUUCUACUCAAGGGCCCAAUCUGUCGAGCCUAGUUCUUGGGCGAACGCUUCGUGCGCCAGAUCGUGGGCCUGCCUGACCCGAUCGUCCCGAUUGCUCCGCUAGAGUCCAUGUAAUCUACUGACGGCCUAUCCACUGAGGAGGACAUUCAGUUUAUGGUGGGCCUGGAUUCCGACUACUUCCGAGCAGAGGGAGACUAUGCCGUCCCUGACCGGCGUUCGUGGAGCUGAGGAAGCGAGAGCUCCUGCUGUGCGAAAAAGGCCGAGAGUGACCCGGGUGACCAGGGCCCGUGGUAGAGGGGCUUCCCGAGUGAGGUAGAGGACUGAUUGGCCAGAGCUUCCUACCAUGCUGACUUGCUGGUGACACACCGGGGAUGCCUACCAGGUUCCGAUUGAGCCUGUGGCGGUUGGUCACGAGCUUGUCGGGGUCUGAGGCCCGACUCAGGCAUCCAUUGAGUACACAGGAGGCGCUCUCGAGUUGAUAGCCUCCCUAAUAGGGAUGGUACAAAGGAGAGAGGCGCUGCUCAGCCUCUACGGUAUUCAGAUCCCACCCAUGCCGAUGGCACUAAUGGCAGUUGCAGCACCUACACCAGUGGUACCUCCUCCAGUAGCAGGGAGGAGAGAGAGAGACAUGCUCCAGCACACGAUUGAGGCAGAGCUAGGGGCACCCGAGAUGAGAGUGGUCCUUCAGAGCCCAUUUUGAGUGAUGAUGAUACUGAGACGAGCAACUUUGAGGAGGCAGUGAGUCAACAUUCAGAGUCAUCUGAGAGUGGAGAUGAUGACCCCGCCUUGGGUUCCAGGAGUGGAGAUGACGAUUCGAGGAGGGCUCUAGAGCAGAGAGCGGAGAUGACACUGACUCAGGUUUCGGUUCAGAUUCAGACAGUGGCACCAAUGGAGAUAAUGCCCCAGAGUCCUUUCCUCUGAGGAAGAGGACAAAGAGUGCUUCUUAAGCGUGAGGCGACCAGCGUUGAUUUUUUGUAUUUUUUCUUACUUUCUUUUUGUUUAUAGUUUUAGCACAUUGUAUAACUUCAGACAGGUUUUAUUUACUUUAAAAACUUGUACUGCACUUUUGUAAAAACAUCCAUGAUCGGAAU